UGCCCAGACUCCUACGGGAGGCAGCAGUGGGGAAUAUUGCACAAUGGGGGAAACCCUGAUGCAGCGACGCCGCGUGAGUGAAGAAGUAUUUCGGUAUGUAAAGCUCUAUCAGCAGGGAAGAAAAUGACGGUACCUGACUAAGAAGCCCCGGCUAACUACGUGCCAGCAGCCGCGGUAAUACGUAGGGGGCAAGCGUUAUCCGGAUUUACUGGGUGUAAAGGGCGUGUAGCCGGGCUGACAAGUCAGAUGUGAAAUUCCGGGGCUCAACCCCGGACCUGCAUUUGAAACUGUUGGUCUUGAGUAUCGGAGAGGCAGGCGGAAUUCCUAGUGUAGCGGUGAAAUGCGCAGAUAUUAGGAAGAACACCAGUGGCGAAGGCGGCUUUCUGGACUGAAACUGACGCUGAGGCACGAAAGCGUGGGGAGCGAACAGGAUUAGAUACCCCUGUA
rnacentral:rRNA from 1 species